rnacentral:misc_RNA from 1 species
UUAAGUUCAGCGGGUAGUCCUACCUGAUCCGAGGUCAACCCUUGGGGGCUACGGGGUUUUACAGCCAGACCCGCGGCACCUACAGAAGCGAGGACAGAGUGCUACUACGCUUAGAGGCUGCCAUGGCUCCGCUGGGAGCUUUGAGGGACCGCCGGGGCGGGUCCCCAACGCUAGGCAGGCGGCCUAGGUGUGGUCUAAAU